rnacentral:misc_RNA from 1 species
GAUGAAGAACGCAGCGAAAUGCAAUAAGUAAUGUGAAUUGCAGAAUUCAGUGAAUCAUCGAAUCUUUGAACGCACAUUGCGCCCGUCAGUAUUCUGGCGGGCAUGCCUGUUCGAGCGUCAUUACGCCCCUCAAGUCCCCUGUGGACUUGGUGUUGGGGAUCGGCGAGGCUGGUUUUCCAGCACAGCCGUCCCUUAAAUUAAUUGGCGGUCUCGCCGUGGCCCUCCUCUGCGCAGUAGUAAAACACUCGCAACAGGAGCCCGGCGCGGUCCACUGCCGUAAAACCCCCCAACUUUUUAUAGUUGACCUCGAAUCAGGUAGGACUACCCGCUGAACUUAAGCAUAUCAAUAAGCGGAGGA